ACAACGGAGAGUUUGAUCCUGGCUCAGGAUGAACGCUAGCGACAGGCUUAACACAUGCAAGUCGAGGGGCAGCGGGGAGGAAAGCUUGCUUUUCUCCGCCGGCGACCGGCGCACGGGUGAGUAACACGUAUGCAACCUGCCUCAGACAGGGGGAUAAUCGGCGGAAACGCCGUCUAAUACCGCGUAAAAUCUCAGGGGACAUCCCUUGAGGUAGAAAGGCUUCGGCCGGUCUGAGAUGGGCAUGCGGCGCAUUAGUUAGUUGGCGGGGUAACGGCCCACCAAGACGACGAUGCGUAGGGGUUCUGAGAGGA
rnacentral:rRNA from 1 species